AAAAUCGGUGAGAACUGACAAUGGAGAGGGGGGGGAAUCUUGUUGGUAUACGAGAUUGCAUCGAAUUCGGCCUACUUUCGGUUGUCCCAAUCGGAAAGGGGUCGGUCGGUCGGUCGUGGGAUGAGAAUGAGAAAAAAGGGCUGAAGAAAAAUGAGCUCGAAUUGCUCGGCGAAUGAGAUAGACGUUGGAUGAUAGCCGGGGAUAUAUGGUUAAUGGUAUUCCAGCUAAUCAGCGUGGAUGGGUCGCGAGUAGUCGUCGCGACGAGGUCAACGACGCCUUCGGUUGGUUGGUCGGUCGGUCGAUGCUGGCCUCAUCUUCGAUUCCGCUCGUACUACUCGUCGAGAAGGUCCGACUUUAAUUUCGUUAAUCAGGCCGCGUCUCGAUCGGAACGAGCUUCGUGAGCCGGCACGACGACGACGACGGCGAAGAACAAGCAGAAGAAGCAGAAGAAGCAGAAGAAGCAGAAGAAGAAGAAGAAGAAGAAGAAGAAGACAACGACGGGGACUCAGUCAUUCGAGCCCAAAGGAGAAAGAAUUCACCGCUCUCUUAUCCAUGUCAACGAUGAAUACAAAAGCGGCACUAAAAAGAACAUAUUGUAUUGUAUAUAUAUCUGCUGUAGGAUUUGACGUACAAGAGAAUUAUAUUUUUGUAAAUCGAGAA
rnacentral:lncRNA from 1 species